GAAAUGCGAUAAGUAAUGUGAAUUGCAGAAUUCAGUGAAUCAUCGAAUCUUUGAACGCAUCUUGCGCUCCUUGGUAUUCCGAGGAGCAUGCCUGUUUGAGUGUCAUUUAAGUUCCUCAAAACCACAUUGAUUGUUUUUGGUGUGGCUUUGGAUGUGGGGGAAAUGUGUUUGCAGGUCUCUGAAAAUGAAGUCUGCUUCCCUGAAAUGCAUUAGUAGUAUCCAAGCAGACUACCGGGUGUGAUAAUUUAUCUAUGCCCUUGAUAGGCUGCAUGACUGCUUCCAAUCAACUUUAUUUCUUUUUUAAAGACCUCAAAUCAGGUAGGACUACCCGCUGAACUUAA
rnacentral:misc_RNA from 1 species